UACGGAGGGUGCAAGCGUUAUCCGGAUUCACUGGGUUUAAAGGGUGCGUAGGUGGGCAGUUAAGUCAGUGGUGAAAUCUCCGGGCUCAACCCGGAAACUGCCAUUGAUACUAUCUGUCUUGAAUAUCGUGGAGGUAAGCGGAAUAUGUCAUGUAGCGGUAGAAAUGCUUAGAUAUGACAUAGAACACCAAUUGCGAAGGCAGCUAACUACAGGGAUAUUGACACUGAGGCUCGAAAGCGUGGGGAUCAAACAGG
rnacentral:rRNA from 1 species